rnacentral:lncRNA from 10 species
GGUAAUUGUUACAUUGCUCUCUGUACUGUCCAGAGCUGUAACGGAGAGCUGGGGCUGGCUCCCGGCUCCAUAGUUCUACGGGAAUUGAGAGAAUGUGGAGAGUUCAGAGCUAAAGCAGAAUAGUCAUCCUGUGACCAGCAAACAAGGGCUAAAGGACCUAGGAUUAUUUAGCCUAGAGAGGAGAUGCAUCAGAGGUGAAUUAAGAAGUGCCAGCAUUGGACUUAAACUUCAGAAGAGCCAUUGCGUGGAGGAUGAUGACUGUUUUUUCCCUCUGUUGCCAAGGACACAAAAAGAAUGGGCUCAUUAAAGUUAAACAAAAGGAAGAAUUUCCUGAUGCCUAGGGUUGUUUGACACCAGAUAGGGCUGGAGAUUUUUCUUUGGAGGACUUUGCAAAAUCAAUAUUCUUUUAAAUGCAGUAGAUUGGCUCUUUCCUGAAGUAAAGGGCGGGAAGCCUGGCAGUCUCAUUUCUACCAUGACCAGGAUGGCAGUGGAUGAUGUUCACUGUGGGACACACUCGAUGUGCAUGCUAAACUAACGUUUUGCACAACUCCCAGCAUCCUACGGGCAGCUGUGUUCCUUUCCUUCUUCUCAAGAAAACAUAUUAGGAAACAAGAGCUACUUGUUGGUGAUCAGGAUAACCUCAACUCCUCUUUUUUAAAAAGGCGUGGUACAAGAGCUUGGGAACUGCCGAACGCGGGUACAAGAGCUUGGGAACCGCCGAACGUGGGUACAAGAGCUUGGGAACCGCCGAACGCGGAUAGAAGCUAUAACACAGGCGAGCUGGGGCAUGCCAGCGUGGCUGAGCAGGGCGCGGGUGGGGCAUCGCUGGCCGGAGGUCCCGGUUUGCAAAGUGACCGAGAAGAAAAAUCCUGCAUCAAAAGUUACAGUUGCUGCCGGGAGCUGUGGCUCAUGCCUGUAAUCCCAGCACUUUGGG